UACCCUGUAGAUCCGGGCUUUUGUAGUUUAGUUCACAUCAGAAGCUCGUCUCUACAGGUAUCU
rnacentral:precursor_RNA from 1 species